GCCCGUGGAGUCAUUUAGAUUAGCCAGGGCUGGUCUAAACAGUCGGUUUUUGACCGCUACGACCCGGGUUCGAUUCCCGCAUUGGGCA
rnacentral:tRNA from 1 species